rnacentral:rRNA from 1 species
UCGAGGAUCUUCGGCAAUGGGCGCAAGCCUGACCGAGCGACGCCGCGUGCGCGAAGAAGGCCUUCGGGUUGUAAAGCGCUGUCGGGGGGGAGGAAAGCCCGCAAGGGCCUGACCUAUCCCCGGAGGAAGCACGGGCUAAGUUCGUGCCAGCAGCCGCGGUAAGACGAACCGUGCGAACGUUGUUCGGAUUCACUGGGCUUAAAGGGCGCGUAGGCGGGCGAGCAGGUCCGCGGUGAAAGCCCCCGGCUCAACCGGGGGAGUGCCGCGGAUACCGCUCGCCUCGAGCGGUGCAGGGGCACGCGGAACUUCCGGUGGAGCGGUGAAAUGCGUAGAGAUCGGAAGGAACGCCGGUGGCGAAAGCGGCGUGCUGGGCACCUCCUGACGCUGAGGCGCGAAAGCCAGGGGAGCGAACGG